GCUCGUAGAUUGCUGGGGGGCUGCUUAGACCCAACCAAGUCGAACUAGACUGUUUAAAGCAAGUCUUGGGCUGUAUUUUUGUUAGACUUUAUGGCGGCCGGGUGAGUAGCGCGUGGAUAACCUGCCUUACCCCGGGGGAUAACGGAGAAAAUUUGCCAUAACACUGCAUAAGACCACAGCACCGCAUGGUGCAGGGGUAAAAUAUUUAUAGGUAUAAGAUGGAUCCGCGUCCGAUUAGCUAGUUGGUGAGGUAAAGGCCCACCAAGGCGACGAUCGGUAGCCGGCCUGAGAGGGUGAACGGCCACAUUGGGACUGAGACACGGCCCAAACUCCUACGGGAGGCAGCAGUGGGGAAUAUUGGACAAUGGGGGAAACCCUGAUCCAGCGACGCCGCGUGAGUGAAGAAGAAUUUCGGUAUGUAAAGCUCUAUCAGCAGGGAAGAAAAUGACGGUACCUGACUAAGGAGCCCCGGCUAACUACGUGCCAGCAGCCGCGGUAAUACGUAGGGGGCAAGCGUUAUCCGGAUUUACUGGGUGUAAAGGGAGCGCAGACGGCAAUGCAAGUCUGAAGUGAAAGGCGUGGGCUCAACCCAUGAACUGCUUUGGAAACUGUAUAGCUUGAGUGUCGGAGGGGUAAGCGGAAUUCCUAGUGUAGCGGUGAAAUGCGUAGAUAUUAGGAGGAACACCGGAGGCGAAGGCGGCUUACUGGACGACAACUGACGUUGAGGCUCGAAGGCGUGGGGAGCAAACAGG
rnacentral:rRNA from 1 species